CCUACGGGAGGCAGCAGUGGGGAAUAUUGCACAAUGGGGGAAACCCUGAUGCAGCGACGCCGCGUGGAGGAUGAAGGUUUUCGGAUUGUAAACUCCUUUUGUUAGAGAAGAUAAUGACGGUAUCUAACGAAUAAGCACCGGCUAACUCCGUGCCAGCAGCCGCGGUAAUACGUAGGGUGCAAGCGUUACUCGGAAUUACUGGGCGUAAAGAGCGCGUAGGCGGGAUAGCAAGUCAGAUGUGAAAUCCUAUGGCUUAACCAUAGAACUGCAUUUGAAACUGUUUAUCUAGAGUAUGGGAGAGGUAGGUGGAAUUCUUGGUGUAGGGGUAAAAUCCGUAGAGAUCAAGAGGAAAACGAAAUGCGAAGGCGACCUGCUAGAACAUAACUGACGCUGAUGCGCGAAAGCGUGGGGAGCAAACAGGAUUAGAUACCCUUGUAGUC
rnacentral:rRNA from 1 species